GGGAGAGGCAAGCAGAAGGAAAUGGAAGGCUUGAGAGGCAGAGGAAUGACAGAAGUCGGUAGGAGAGUGCCCGGAGGUCUGAGCCAAGAUACUCGCUGUUGGAACUGUUUCCCUUCCAUGUAAUUAGAGACCUGGAGACCUGCUCUUAACAUGUUCUUAACCAGAACAGCAGAAGCUCCAUCUUUGAGAAUGACUGCGACGACCCCAAGCCCCCAGCCUGCGCCUGGUCUUGACCAUCCCUUUUGGUUGUUGGAUCCUGGGAAGAAUAUAAGGAAGCAGUCCCAGGAGUCAGGUGGGCUUGAGUGGCUGUA
rnacentral:lncRNA from 1 species